rnacentral:rRNA from 1 species
CCUACGGGAGGCAGCAGUGGGGAAUUUUGGACAAUGGGCGCAAGCCUGAUCCAGCAAUGCCGCGUGAGUGAAGAAGGCCUUCGGGUUGUAAAGCUCUUUUGUCAGGGAAGAAACGGUCUGUUCUAAUACAGCGGGCUAAUGACGGUACCUGAAGAAUAAGCACCGGCUAACUACGUGCCAGCAGCCGCGGUAAUACGUAGGGUGCAAGCGUUAAUCGGAAUUACUGGGCGUAAAGCGUGCGCAGGCGGUUUUGUAAGUUUGUCGUGAAAUCCCCGGGCUCAACCUGGGAAUGGCGAUGAAGACUGCAAGGCUAGAGUUUGGCAGAGGGGGGUAGAAUUCCACGUGUAGCAGUGAAAUGCGUAGAUAUGUGGAGGAACACCGAUGGCGAAGGCAGCCCCCUGGGUCAAAACUGACGCUCAUGCACGAAAGCGUGGGGAGCAAACAGGAUUAGAUACCCUGGUAGUCCACGCCCUAAACGAUGUCUACUAGUUGUCGGGUCUUAAUUGACUUGGUAACGCAGCUAACGCGUGAAGUAGACCGCCUGGGGAUACGGCCGCAAGNUUAAAACUCAAANAGAGUAGAGCGNGAGAGUGCGAGACGACGACGAGGAGAGG